AGACCCCUGGGCUAACAGCCCAAGGGAUGCACCUCAAUGACCCCCACUGGUGUCCGUAUCAGCAUGCCUGGACCAGCUCAGAACAAUGGUCCCCACCAAUGUCUCAGUCUCCGGAGGGGACCCUCUUCUCACCAAGAUGCCCUCAGAGCCCACCAGAUCUUCACUUUGAGAACCUGGUGAAUUUCCACACAAGGAUGAGGAGCCCGCCUGUGACUGCAGCCACCCGGAGUUUCUCACCCUCAAGGUAUUCUGCACUUAGCUUUCAGAAAUUUGCCAAAAUAAUCAUUUAAGUGUGCCUACCAGAUUAUGGAUUUCAGUGACUUUUGUUCCAGUGUUCUCCCAACUCAAUCUGAGCUGAAUGCAGAUUGUAUAUGCUUCAAAGACCUGCCUGAGCAGAGCGAAAUCCUCCUCCCCUUCAUCAUCAAUAUCACCACCAACAACAUUUAACAGAAAUAGAAAGGUGGGAGAACAAGAAAUCCCAGAGGGACAGAGGGUCUGUUACCUUCGCUUUCUUGCUGAACUUCCACAUUGGAAAGAAAAUCACCUAAGAGAACCAUCUCUUCCCAGCUCUGCCUAGGCCUGGUAGAACUGCUCUGAGGGUGUUUCCUUGGGCUUGAAGCUACCACAUGUGACAGACGCAGCUGCAAUGGGGGAUACGCUACAAGGAGAAUUGAGCCAUCCUUACCUGAGUGCCACUCAUUCCAGUGAUCAUUCUCCACCUAAAGAUCAUGUGUUCAUUCAACAGGGUAUAAUAAGCCCCUGUUCAGUGCCAAGAACUAUCUUAAGGCAAUAUGUUAGUGGAAAUUCAAAAGAGGUAGAAGAAAAGUAAGCACCUAAUCUGAGGAAACUCCGGACAUCUCCAAGAAACUAUGAAAUUGGAAUCAAAGACUAAGUUUUGGGAGUUGCAUAGCAAGCACCAGAAGAGGCCAAGAGUAUGGAAAAUAAGUGAGAACUGGUGUUGGCCGGUGGCUGCUUCAAUAUGAAUUCAGGUGGAGUGGGUAUGGGUAGCAGGAACAAGCACAUGGUAUGCAAGGAAACAAUUACUGCAUAGAGCUUCGUUAAAAUAAACUGUUUUGUUUCAGUAUGAUUUUAAACGUUCUUAAGAAAAAUGGAAUUCUAGCUCCUUUAAGAGAGGUA
rnacentral:lncRNA from 1 species